rnacentral:lncRNA from 1 species
GUGAGAAGCACGCAAGCGCCUCUAGUGGCUGUCAAUGAGGCAGCCACUAGAGGAUUAGGGGGAAGGCUUAACCCAUUCAUAAUUAUAGCAGUUUCUCUGAAACUGCUAUAAUUAUGAAAAAAUGGGUUAACCCUAGAAGGACCUGGCACCCAGACCACUUAAUUAAGCUGAAGUGGUCUGGGUGCCUAGAGUGGUCCUUUAAAUCAAACUACAGAUGGAGGUAUUAAGAUUUUUGUUUUAAGAUCUGCCAUGUUUGUAAUCUGUAUAUGUAACAGUGUGUUCUUGUAGUCUCCUGCUAUGAAAGUCCCAUUGUACAUGGACUACAGUAAUUUGACCAUGUCCUCCAAACAUCUACCGUAAACCAGAAACCCUGUCUUACACAGUUUGAUAGUUAAAUUUUCUAUAUUAUGCUUUUAUUACAUGGUUGAUAGAAGUACUGAUCUUGUACUGCAAAUCAUCCUUUCAUUAAAGCAGGGUCAUUGCUAGUUGACACUAGAGUGCAUUGUUCAGUAUUGCGAGAAGCACUGUAUGCUUGACGUUCCUGACAAUGCAACAUGUCGUAAACUCCUAUAAGGUAAUCCAUUCCUGAAUGUAUUACUACAGUAACACAGAAGAGCUUGCUAGGUUAGCUAAAACUUCACAUUUCAGUUUUAUAUUAGUUAUCAUCUAUGCAGUAUUCAAGCACUACAUAUGGAAACGCGACUGUUGCACUUGGCAAAAGUGAAUGAUAUAUAAAAAGUCAUUCUGGGGCAAAGUUCCACAGGAACAUUCCAUUGAUUCCCAUGGUGAUUGCUACACUCAGAACCUUGACUUAAAAAUGCUCUUUGUACAUAAACCUUAAUAUAGUAGGUUUGAUUUUUAAUUCAUAUGAUUUUAGUUGAAAUAACCUUUGCACAAUAUGUUAAGAAAUGUAUGCUUUAGAAAUACAAUGUGAACAUUUAUUUCUAGGUAUAUAAUAAUCUACACACGGUGAUACAGCCUUAGCUUCAAAUCAAACGUAUUUUUUGUGUUUGCUACAUGUGUGCCUGAUUGGUUCAGUCCUUGGGAAUGUAUUGCAUUUGAACCCUGCCCUGUGCUUGCUGCUGUUAAUUCUCUAGUGUACUCCACUAUUUCAACACUGAAUAAUUGACAAUUACUGCAACAACAACAAAAAUAUUGUUAAAAAGGUCUUACAUGUCCAGCUUACUAAUGCUAAAUUACAUAGUGGAUUCCUUCAUUAUGGAAGCUUGAUUAGAUAGAAAUACAAUUUGCAGGCAUCCCCAGAGACUGACCAACUUAAUUAACUAAUUACAUAAAUUUGUGUAGCUGUCCUUUUUACUUAUCUAUUCUAGAUCAUAUAAUUCAUAGUCUGCUAGUAUGCAGACAUACAGGGCAAAUAGUAAUCCAAUUUGUGAAAGAGAAAAGUGACUACUCUGUAAUUAAUGAAAUAAAGCUGACUUAACAGAAUGUACAUCUCCAGGCAUUCUCUUUUUUGCAAACAAAAUUAAAUUUGCAUCUUACCAAUUGAUGCCUUGAAUCAAGGUUUGAGCCAAAAUAAAUAUACAUACUUUGCAAGUUUCUAUCCCUCAUAUUAUGAGGUUUUUCCAUUUAGGUCUUGACAAAUUUUGUAGCCAGGUACUCCAAGUACUCACCAUAAGGUCUCUGAGUAUUGGUUCAUCAUCUGAUCAAGAGAUUUUGUUUCAGACCAUUACUUCCUUAAGAUAUAGGAUUCAGGAACUCCUAACUUCCUGUGAUCUCAAUCUAGUUUUUGGUGCCCUACGAAGGCCACAAUUCAAACUAAUCUUGACAGUUUUUUAAAAAGAUUGUUACACUGUAUAUAGUUUCAGAGAAACAUCUCGAUGAACUAAAAUCUCUACUGUUUUGAUAUUAUAGGAAAAUGCUUUAUAUAUGUGCAUAAUACAUGCUAUCUCCAGAAAGACUGCUGCCAAUAAAGAACGAAACAUACAUUGAUUUCUAGGAGUUUUGUUAUAAACAAUUAUUAGCACCUGUGGCCUUGGGAGUCCCAUUGCUGUACUAGUGAACUCUGCAGGGAGACUUUGAAGGAGAUGCUAUGUCUUGCUUUUUGCUUGUUACUACCAAAAGGGACAGUCUUUCCAUAUCAUUAGAGUGCAGCUACAUGCGGUUUAUUAUCCAGACACACAGACUGUCCAAAAUGACUCAUCUUGACAAUGUUUUCAGAAAAACAAGUUUGCAAAAUGAGGAUUGUGCUUUAUAUUUAACAGAUGAAAUGUUAUAGAAAACAAAACAGAGUACUUGGCAUAUAUAUCAUAUCAUUUUAGCCUAGUUGAUUAUGAAUGAACAUAAGCAAAAUACUUCAUAUCAGGAACAAAUAUUUAGGGAAAUGAUGCAGGAUUGGUUUAUCAGUUAUAAUUUCAUUGGAUUUUGCCUAAUGUAAGGGUUUAUGAAGCAUACAGCUUCAAUAAAUAAUUUUUUUGUUUCAUUAAAAUUUAUUAAAAUGAAAGAAAAUCAGUCAUUAUUUGUCCAGAAUGUGUACCAAUCUAUUACUUGACAUUUCUAUUUCUAUGCAAACACUUCGAUUAUCCGGUAUAUUUACUAAAGUGGGAAUUGAAAGUCUAUUUUUAAGGUCAAAAUAGCUGAACUGGGAACAUUUUCUGUCUUCUCAGCUUGGGUACGGAAAUUUGAAAAGGACUAUGAAUUCUCACUUCAAUGAAUAACCCUGUCAAUGUUUGACAUAAGAAACCAUGCAAGAGCAGUGACUUUAAUGGAUUUGAAAUAAGUAACAAAUCUCUUGGGCCCAGAUUCAACCAAUUUUCUGGUUAAAAAAAAUAAUGUUUACUUUAUCACCUACCUAUUUUAUCACAUUCAUUUAACCACUUUAAUGCUUAGGAAAACAACAGCUGCACCAUUUUUUUGGGAGGAGGGGGUAAACACAUCCAAUGCCACCUGCGAUCCACCUCAUUAUAAUAAUAAAAUGUCCUGUAACUCCCUCAUUGGUGAAAGAAUUGCAAGUUCAGCAGUUUUUGUAUAUUCAAGAUAAGGGGUAGGCAACCUUCUGCACUCCAGAUCUCCCCUGAUGCUUUGCCAGCAUUAAGGCUAUAAGAGCAUUAUGGGAAAUGUAGUCAAUGUUGCCACCCCUGCUCUAGACCCUCAUAGUGCAUGUCAGAACCAACAUUCGAGGUAUACAUCUUAGAAUACACAUAGAAUGCAUCUCUGAUAAGGUUACCUAGGUUACUUUACUACUAUUGACGUAUCUGCGUUCAGAGCACAUUUUGUUCUGUGAACUCAACUACAUGUUUCUUCUACCAAGACCUGACCAAUCUCUUCUUCGGUGGGCUGGUCCUGUAGAUAACUGUUUUACUCUUCCCCAGCUUUAAAGGUUCCUUUGCUAUCCUGGGUUUCUGGUCUGCUCUUGCAGGUGGGGAUUCAGUGUUCUCAGAAAAUCAAGAACUUAAUCGGGCAUAGGGCAAAUGAUCACUGGUGAACAUCAUUGAAUAUUUACUUUCCUGACAAAGACUUGACAUCACUCUAAACUGUUAAAUCUGGCUUCUCUGGAUGAUUGUGGAAAAGAACUAUUCAUUGCAAGGGUUGGAGUCUUCUUUACAUUAUGAAAACGUUCUGUAUGCUAAUUUGGAGUUUUUAUUUAUUAUAGAUAUGAGAUUUAAACAUUUGCACUAUGUGUUAGGAUCUAUUUUAUCUCAUCGCAGCAAGGUAUAAUAGGAGGUGAGAGGCAGGAAUGGACCAGAACAGAAAACUACCAUUCUGCAUAAUUGGAAGUUGUUGCUCUGCAACGCUUAGGUCAAUUAUUUCACUCUGUAACAUGUAAUAAAUGUAGUGUCUGAGUCACAAACCAGUAACCACGGAGACCAGUCUGUUAGUGCUUGGAAUACGUGAGAAACCCACUGUAUUCCCAGGAUCGCAUGCAAUCUUUAGUCUGAUAUGCUUGCAAUGGUCAGGGUUAAUUACAAAUCGAGAAUUGUAAGGAAUUUCAUGACAAAAUAGCUGAAUUGAAAAACAUCCCCCAAGUUAGGCAUUCUUCUAGUUCAGCUGUUUUAAAAAAAAAAAAAAAAAAAAUAUUUGCAAUUCCUUUGUUGAUUCCAGACAAUUCACGGUUUAGUGAAUAGCCCUGUUUGUAUACGACAAUUCAUUUUCCAACCCCAAUGCAAAUGGUUUGUUUGGUGUUGCCAAAUUAAUUUAAAGUGUGGUUAUUUACUAAAACAAGAUUUGCUGGUCAUUUUAUAUUUCAGCUGUAUAACCUAGCUGGAAAUAUAGACGAGCUGGAAAUUAUAUUUCUAAUUUGACUGCUUUGGCUGACCAAAGCAGACAGCGAGGGUUUAACAAACGUAUCUACUAGAGUCCCACGUUUCUGAAAGAGGAGAACCAUGGUGUCAGGUCACACAGCCUCGACAUCAUGACAUUCCUGAAACAAGAGCAGGUGAUCACGGUUACUAUAGUGUUUACCUGGUAACAGCACAAAAUAGAUUUUAUGUGAAAUAUUUUUUGUCGUCAUUUUCAAGGCAUCUUGGGUUUCUUUUGCAAAAUCUGAGGCUUCACUAUAACAUUUAUAUGUAAAGUGACACUAUAGUCACCAAAAUAACUACAGCUUUUUGCAGUUGUUCUGGUGAGUAUAGUCAGUCCAUGCAGGCUUUUUUCUGAGAAAAGGCAGUGUUUACAUAACAGCCUAGGAACACCUCUAGUG